rnacentral:rRNA from 1 species
UACGUAGGGUGCGAGCGUUGUCCGGAAUUAUUGGGCGUAAAGAGCUCGUAGGCGGUUUGUUGCGUCGGCCGUGAAAACCUGCAGCUUAACUGUGGGCCUGCGGCCGAUACGGGCAGACUUGAGUUCGGUAGGGGAGACUGGAAUUCCUGGUGUAGCGGUGAAAUGCGCAGAUAUCAGGAGGAACACCGGUGGCGAAGGCGGGUCUCUGGGCCGAUACUGACGCUGAGGAGCGAAAGCGUGGGGGAGCAAACAGG